UAUGUCUGGGAACUGCCUGAUGGAGGGGGAUAACUACUGGAAACGGUAGCUAAUACCGCAUAACGUCGCAAGACCAAAGAGGGGGACCUUCGGGCCUCUUGCCAUCGGAUGUGCCCAGAUGGGAUUAGCUAGUAGGUGGGGUAACGGCUCACCUAGGCGACGAUCCCUAGCUGGUCUGAGAGGAUGACCAGCCACACUGGAACUGAGACACGGUCCAGACUCCUACGGGAGGCAGCAGUGGGGAAUAUUGCACAAUGGGCGCAAGCCUGAUGCAGCCAUGCCGCGUGUAUGAAGAAGGCCUUCGGGUUGUAAAGUACUUUCAGCGGGGAGGAAGGGAGUAAAGUUAAUACCUUUGCUCAUUGACGUUACCCGCAGAAGAAGCACCGGCUAACUCCGUGCCAGCAGCCGCGGUAAUACGGAGGGUGCAAGCGUUAAUCGGAAUUACUGGGCGUAAAGCGCACGCAGGCGGUUUGUUAAGUCAGAUGUGAAAU
rnacentral:rRNA from 1 species